GACGAACGCUGGCGGCGUGCUUAACACAUGCAAGUCGAACGAAGAGCGAUGGAAGCUUGCUUCUAUCAAUCUUAGUGGCGAACGGGUGAGUAACGCGUAAUCAACCUGCCCUUCAGAGGGGGACAACAGUUGGAAACGACUGCUAAUACCGCAUACGAUCUAAUCUCGGCAUCGAGGAUGGAUGAAAGGUGGCCUCUACAUGUAAGCUAUCACUGAAGGAGGGGAUUGCGUCUGAUUAGCUAGUUGGAGGGGUAACGGCCCACCAAGGCGAUGAUCAGUAGCCGGUCUGAGAGGAUGAACGGCCACAUUGGGACUGAGACACGGCCCAGACUCCUACGGGAGGCAGCAGUGGGGAAUCUUCCGCAAUGGACGAAAGUCUGACGGAGCAACGCCGCGUGAGUGAUGACGGCCUUCGGGUUGUAAAGCUCUGUUAAUCGGGACGAAAGGCCUUCUUGCGAAUAGUGAGAAGGAUUGACGGUACCGGAAUAGAAAGUCACGGCUAACUACGUG
rnacentral:rRNA from 1 species